rnacentral:tRNA from 1 species
GUGGGUGUAGCUCAGUUGGUCAGAGCGCCUGAUUGUGGUUCAGGAGGCCGAGGGUUCGACUCCCUUCAUCCACCCCA